rnacentral:rRNA from 1 species
UGAGGCGUGGCUUCCGGAGCUAACGCGUUAAGUCGACCGCCUGGGGAGUACGGCCGCAAGGUUAAAACUCAAAUGAAUUGACGGGGGCCCGCACAAGCGGUGGAGCAUGUGGUUUAAUUCGAUGCAACGCGAAGAACCUUACCUACUCUUGACAUCCACAGAACUUUCCAGAGAUGGAUUGGUGCCUUCGGGAACUGUGAGACAGGUGCUGCAUGGCUGUCGUCAGCUCGUGUUGUGAAAUGUUGGGUUAAGUCCCGCAACGAGCGCAACCCUUAUCCUUUGUUGCCAGCGCGUCAUGGCGGGAACUCAAAGGAGACUGCCGGUGAUAAACCGGAGGAAGGUGGGGAUGACGUCAAGUCAUCAUGGCCCUUACGAGUAGGGCUACACACGUGCUACAAUGGCAUAUACAAAGAGAAGCGAACUCGCGAGAGCAAGCGGACCUCAUAAAGUAUGUCGUAGUCCGGAUCGGAGUCUGCAACUCGACUCCGUGAAGUCGGAAUCGCUAGUAAUCGUAGAUCAGAAUGCUACGGUGAAUACGUUCCCGGGCCUUGUACACACCGCCCGUCACACCAUGGGAGUGGGUUGCAAAAGAAGUAGGUAGCUUAACCUU